CUGCCUGGCUGAAACCGGUCUGGCAUGAAACCACUCUGUUUGCACGUCAUUGUCCCCUUACCCAGCAAAUACCCAGAGCUGGCAUUAUGCCCUGCUGAAAUCACAAGAGAUACAUGCUAUGUGGUUUGGCUCCCUUGUCCUUCCCCGGGCUGUAUCUUUUACAGAGUUUACAUAUGCAAGUGGGCUACUGUGGUCUUUUUUCUUAUGAUCCCAAGUAAACCAAGGGACAAAGCCUUAACUUCUGUCCCUUCCCUCCCAAAGCCAGCUUCAUGUCCCUGGCUCUACUCCCAGUGAGGGUGUUUCAAUCUUCAAACAAAAAUCAUUUGUUUUGAGUCUGGGUUUCUUUUUACUUCCUGUCUUGGUGACCUAUGGUUUUCCAGCUUCUACUUUCUCCUUUCUAGUUUGUCUCCAGCUAAGUGUGCUUGUUUCUAGCAACCCAGGAGCUGAAGCAGCUCAUUUUGGCUCCAGAAAGCCAUUUGGAUGCUAUUCCUCAAGGCUAGUUCUGUAGCAAGUCAAAGGAUUUGAUCUUCCAAAUCCAGAGUGGUUCCUGAACUAGUAAGAAAUCCAGAGAGCCAGGAAUAGCACAGGACUGAAGGAUUGAGAGUUGCAAGGGACCAUAGGGACUGAUCUUGUCCAACUCUCUCAAUUUUUAUAGUUAAGAAAAUUUAUGUUCAGAGGCAAGGUGGUUUAUACCUGGUGACAUAAACAGUAAGCAGCUGAGCUGGGAUUUCAACUCAGGUUCUGACUUUAUAUCUAGUGCUUUUUUAAAAACUUCCAACAGAAGCAUUCGCUGGCCCAAGGAGCUGACAAUUGUCCCUACUCCAUUAAGUGGCUCACUUUGCUCUGCUCCCAGCAGAAUCUCAGAGGAAGAAAGGAACCUUGGAAACCACCUCCAAUUCUUACCUGAACAAGACUCUGCUCUCUCACAUCCCUAACAAGUGGUCAACCAGCCAAGGCUAGAGCCAAGCUCAGAGACCCACAGAGAAGGAGAAUGCACCUUCCUGAGACAGCUCAAGAUCAUGAGUGCCUUUCUUUGUAUUCUUAGAACUUACCACAGUGCCUGGAACACAAGAUAAUCCAUGUGCCAGAACAAUGUAAAAGUCAUCACGCUGUAAAAGUCAUCACACUGUACAAGUAGAAAGGAAAUUGGACUAAUCAUGUAGUGAAUAAGAGAAGUGACAGAUGGCUAACCCCAUUAAUAUACAGGUACUUCUGAGAUGUUAAAAGAACAAAAGACAGCCCUCCAAAGUAUGAGGUGGAUUCCCUAUGGAGGAUUAAUGAGAAUACAUGGGUAAGAAUUAUAAAAGAUCAGGAGCUAUAGAAAUUAUAGUCUCAAUUAGUGGAGUGGAGUUUCCACAUGGAUUCACCAAGACAACAAAGAAUCAAAACCAAAGGAUAAGACAUCUUUUGCUAGAUUAAGAAAAAAUAAUGAAAGUAUAUUUGGAUGUCCAUUUUCCUGGUGUUCCCACUCUUUAUAUAAUUAUAGUUCUGACAAACCUCAAAAAGAAGACAAGGGGAAUAGAAUAUAGUGUGUGAUAAGCAGAGUACUAAUAUACAUUGCUCUAAAUUUAAACUGGAAAUCCCAGUGACUAAAACAAUGCUAAAUUGUCCAGUCUUCCCAAUCACAUUAAUGACAACCCUUUGAGAACAUAAAUAUUUUCAUAGUUUAGGCAAGAUAAAACCUUAGAAAUGAAAGGGACCUUAGAGGACAUCCUGUGCAUUUUCCUACCUUGAAUAAGAAUUCCUCCUAAAAUAUUCCAUUAAAAUGCUUGUCCAGCCAUUAUUUCAAUAAUUCUAGGCAUGGAGAGCUCCCUACUUACCAAGAAAGCCCAUUCUAUUUAUGAACAACACUAAUCAUUAAGUACCUCCUUAUCUUCAGGCCAAAUUCUAGCUAGUAGUGUUAGUUCUGCUCUUUUAAAAGACAAGAGUUUUGAAAGGCAGAGUCUUAUAAGUGAGAGCAUGCUGGACUUCAAGGCAGAAGAAUUAGAUUCCACCAUAGCAAGUCACUCAAUCUAAGACUCAACUGACUCAUCAAUGUGAUAGAAACAACAAUGCUUUCAUUAUCAACUUCAUGGGGAGGGAGAAGUGUUGUAUGAAGGAUCAAAUGAGAUAUUGUAAGUCAAGAGCUUUAUGCCCAUUAAAAACCUGUACAAAAGUGAAUAUUACCCAGAAUUGACUGCCUCUCUUCUCUUUAACAACUCUUCACAUAUCUGAUGCCAUCUACUAUGUUCCUCCCAAGCUAAACAGCCUUAGUUCCUGUAAUCAUUUCUUAUAUGACAUGGUUUACAAAUGAACCUAUAGUGGAAUUAAUAAUACUUUCCUUGAUCUAUACACACUAUAAUUCUAUUAAUGCAAAAUUUGGUAACUGAUUAAAUAUGAGAGAUAAUUAAGGAGGAAAAGUUGGGUAUGAUUCUGUAGUUGUGUAUCUGGGUAAUUGGAAGGA